UACGGAGGGGGCUAGCGUUGCUCGGAAUUACUGGGCGUAAAGCGCACGUAGGCGGCUUUGUAAGUUAGAGGUGAAAGCCCGGGGCUCAACUCUGGAACUGCCUUUAAGACUGCAUCGCUUGAAUCAUGGAGAGGGCAGUGGAAUUCCGAGUGUAGAGGUGAAAUUCGUAGAUAUUCGGAAGAACACCAGUGGCGAAGGCGACUGACUGGACAUGUAUUGACGCUGAGGUGCGAAAGCGUGGGGAGCAAACAGG
rnacentral:rRNA from 1 species